CCUACGGGAGGCAGCAGUGGGGAAUAUUGCGCAAUGGGCGAAAGCCUGACGCAGCGACGCCGCGUGUGGGAUGAAGGUCUUCGGAUCGUAAACCUCUGUCAGCAGGGAAGAACGGUCACUGUGCUAAUCAGCAGUGAAUUGACGGUACCUGCAAAGGAAGCACCGGCUAACUCCGUGCCAGCAGCCGCGGUAAUACGGAGGGUGCGAGCGUUAAUCGGAAUUACUGGGCGUAAAGCGCUCGUAGGCGGUAUGUCAAGUCAAGGGUGAAAUCCCCGCGCUCAACGUGGGAACUGCCUUUGAAACGGGCAAACUGGAGUGUGUGAGAGGAUAGUGGAAUUCCAGGUGUAGGAGUGAAAGCCGUAGAUAUCUGGAGGAACAUCAGUGGCGAAGGCGACUAUCUGGCACAUAACUGACGCUGAGGAGCGAAAGCGUGGGUAGCAAACAGGAUUAGAUACCCUAGUAGUC
rnacentral:rRNA from 1 species